AUGCAAAAUUCUCGUCCUAUUGCUUAUUUCAGUUCAGGACUCUCGGAUAAACAGAAAAUCAAGCCAGUCUAUGAGAGAGAACUAAUGGCUUUUGUUCCAGCUAUUCAGAAGUGGCGUCACUACCUUUUGGCCAUGAGAUUUCGAGUUCAUAUGAACCAAAAGAGCUUGAAAUUUUUGUUGGAACAAAGAGAGGUGUCCCUAGACUAUCAAAGAUGGUUAACUAAGCUUCUUGGGUAUGAUUUUGAUAUCAUCUACAAACCUGGAGUCGAUAAUAAAGCUGCGGAUGGUCUUUCUCGGAUUGAUCAUUUCGUUUCUAGUGAGACUUCUUUGGCUACGUUCACGACGACAAAUAAUAUUCAGUUACAGGAUAUUCUUGCUGAAGACGACAAUGCGUAUGUGGUCGUAGUAGUCGGCUCGUCGCUACUUUUAUCCAUAUAAUAAGGCAUAUCCUUGAAUUGAUCGGUUUCUGGCUUAGCUCUAUUCCUAUGCAUUGUCACCAUCGGUUCCCGUAACCAAGCCUUCGGCCCUGCUUUAGCUGCACUUGGUGCGUAAUUCAGCCAUCCAAGCUCCGAAGAAUACUGUCAACAAAGGAAAGCACUUGAAUAACCGUUACACGGUGGUUGAUGGAAAGUUGUUGUAUAAAGGAAGGUUGGUUAUUCCUCGCAGUUCGAAACACAUUUCGGUGAUACUUACUGAAAAUCAUGAUUCUUUGGCUGGGAGACAUUCUGAUGUAUUUAAAACUCUCAAGCGGAUUCAAGAAGGGUUUCAUUGGACUCAGAUGGUUAAAGAUAUUCAGGAUUAUGUUUCAGCUUGUGAUGUUUGCCAGCGCCCAAAAUAUUCUACUCUUUCACAUGCAGGAUUAUUGCAGCCUCUACCUAUUCCAGAGCAAGUUUGGGAGGCUUUAUCAAUGGAUUUUAUAGAGGGCCUUCCUCUAUCAGAAGGGGUGAACGUUAUAUUUGUAGUAGUCGACAGGUUGAGUAAGUUUUCUCACUUUCUGAAGUUGAAGCACCCUUUCACCGCAGUGGACGUGGUUGAGCAGUUUGCUAAGGAGGUUAUUCGACUUCACGCCUAAGUCGAUUGUUUCGGUUCGAGAAUGGAUUUUCUUGAGUUCAUUUUGGAAAAACUUUUUUCGACUGAGUGGAACACAACUGAAGUAUAGCACAUAUUUUCACCCCCAAACAGAUGGUCAAACCAAAGUACUUAAUAGGUGUUUGGAGACUUACUUGAGAUGCUUUGCGUCUGCACAUCCUAAGUCAUGGGCGAAGUACUUACCUUGGGCUGAACUCUAGUACAACACCAAUUUUCGCACUUUCUUGGGGAUUACUCCAUUUCGGGUGUUGUAUGGCAGGAACCCUUCUCAUCUCUUACGUUAUGAAUCGGGAUCUACUUUUAAUUUUGAGCUGGAAUCGAUGCUUCGGAAAAGAGAUGAGAUGCUCGUUCAAAUCAAGCAUCAUCUAUCACUGGCCCAGGAUCGCAUGAAAAUGAAUGCAUACAAACAUAGGAGGGAGCUCAGUUUUAACAAGGGCGACAUGGUCUUUCUCAAGCUGCGACAAUACAUGCAGCAAUAUGUUGCUAAAAGGUUGUAUCAGAAGUUAGCAGUCAGAUUUUAUGGUCCCUUUGAAGUCUUGGAGAAGGUGAGAGAUGUAGCAUAUCGUGUGUUGUUACCAGUGGAUUCGAAGAUUCAUAAUAUGUUCCAUGUGUCUCAGUUGAAACCAGUCAUUGGAUCACAUCAUUCAGUGUCACCUUUACCUACAUCAUUCUCACUUGGAGAUGAAGUGGUUAUUGAACCAGAAUCAAUUGUGGAUACACGGUAUGAUGUGCAAGGGCAUUUGGAAGCAUUGGUUUCUUGGAGCGGUAUUCCAUAUCAUGAAAACUCUUGGGAGCGAGUGUCUGAGUUGCUGCAGCAAUUUCCUCGUAUGAAGCUUGAGGACAAGCUUCAGACGAGGAUAAGCCAUUGAGAGCUUAUGUGAGACAGAGGAUAAUGAGAGCUGACGUGGAAGGGGCAUCUAAAGAUCUCAACAAACAAGGCUGACGUGGCGAGGAAGGAGGAAAAAGUUUGUUAUGAUCAGUUUUACAUAAAUAUCUACUUGUUUGUUGCUUUGAUUCUUUAUCGAGUAAUUGUACUUUGAUCAUUGGGGUUGUAGAGAGAUUUUCUUUACGAGAAGGCAGUAAUUAGAAAGGCAGUAAUUCGAGAGAGUGUUCUCGUUUUGCUGAGGAUCAGAUACUUUGAGGAGAGAUUAUUACUGUAGUUCAUAUUGAUACUCUUGUUAAUCGAAUACAACUCAGUAUUUGCUUAACACACAGCCUUUCAAUGGUUAACUAGUCAUUCGCUGGUUAUUCUUGUCUCUUCAGGUUUUAGCAGUUUAGACUUGUCAAACGAAACCUCUAAUCUUUGAUGAUUAGAUAUUUUGGUACGAUCAUUAAAUCAGGCAGGCUAUAGAAGAUGAGCUCAUAAAACAGACAGUUAUGUGUUGCAAAAUUCUUGUUUAUAAUCUUGUGGUCAGUUUUUGUUUGAUUGAAGCAACAGAUUACCUAAAGAUCACUUGGCUGAUAUCUGCUAAGGUAUGAGCUAGGAAGGCAGCCAGCUAACACCAAGAAGUAGAGGUGCUACAACCGAGAAAAGUAACUAGAGCAACCAUGUUCAACCACGACUAGAGAAACGUCUUCAAGGUUCAGCACUAGACUCACACCUCGAAGAGCAAUUUGGAAGUUGGUGAUUAUUGACAUACAUCUCAUCAAGAACUGGUCAAUGGUGGAUGUUCCGAUUGGGUGAAAACCAGUCUCGUCUGCAUCAGAAUUAACAGAUAUUCUUACAUGGAACUGUUACAUGUUAAAAAGGAAAGAAGUCGAUAAUAGCAUGUGCAUUCACAUACUUUACAACCAAUAUACAUAUAAAGAUGUGUUUGAACAAUAUUAACUGAGAUAUAGCCUCAAAGCUUCUCCUUUAGAACCCUUUACGAAGAUAGCCAAAGGAUUAAAGGAGAAUUGUGUACUUCGAGCUGGAGGUUUCAGAAAGGUUUACAGAGUAGAUCUUCUUGAUGGUUCUGAAAUCGCAAUUAAGAGAGUACAUCUCAUGGUUCAAAACAACGAAUGCAAGAGUAGGUUUCAGAAAUUUGCUACUGUAGGAAGACUAGGAAACAUGAAAUUGGUUCAACUUUGUGGUUACUGCAAAGUAAAAGUGAAUUGCUUGCUGCACGAACCAUAGCUUAUUUGCUUUUUAAGUAGACUGGUUUUUAUACUGCCAUUUUUGUCAAAGUAAUUCAUAGUUUUAUUAGAUAAAAUCAGUUCAGAAACGUAAACUAUAAAUGAUAGGAUUUCGAUAGAUAGAAAACCAAAGCAUUUAAGUACUGGUUGUCCAAGCCGUAGAAAACGUAAUCAUGAUAUCGUUUUAGAAAGGUUUUGAAAUGCAAGAUAUUCCUACUAUUGGUUGAGUCUUGUCAUACGUAACUUACCGUUUGUAGGCUCUUGCUCUGUACAUUUCGAUCAUCUUGUAUGGUCUUUUCCAUCUAGGAGCCAAUUUUCCUGCUGACUUGUUUUUAGUGUUGUUGAAUACUCGUUCAAAAAUCUAAGAGCAAUUCUUUCAAAUAGCUAUUUUUAUUUUUUUUUCACAAAAAUAGUCAUAAAAAUGACCAAAAUAGCAUUUUUUAUUUUGAAAUUUUUUAUUUUUAUUUUUUAUUUUUUAAAAUUUGAAAUCCUAUCCCCAAAACCCUGAGUCGAGAUUAGUUAACCCUAGGAUAAAAAUACAUUUUAUCUUUUAAUAAAACUUAUUUUGAUCAUUUUUUUCAUUAAUGGUUAUUUUUGUGACAAAAACUUAAAAAUAGCUAUCAUAAGGUAUUUCUCAAACUUUUCUAAUCCAAACCUUUUGUUGAAAGGUUCUGGUUAUCUCUUUUUGUGUUGUAGCUCCUGAUUAUUUUUUGCUCGUAACACUUGUUUUUUAUUCUGGUCACCUUUAUAUUAGUUUUUUUAGUAACUAAUAUAUUGUUUGUUGAUUUAUGGUUUGUUCCAGGGGCGAAGCCAGGAAAUUUUUAUAAUGGGUGCACAACAUUAAAGCCAGAAAAUUUCAUUCGACUUCGUAGAGUUGUCUUCAGUAUUUUCAUUGUCGAGAAAUAUCUUUUAAUAUUUGCAACUGAUAAAGUUAAAAUCAACUUCAAAAACCUAUAAACCAAAAUUAAAGAUUAUUAAGUAAUAAACUAUUUUUUCAUCGUCGAGAUAAAUUUAAUUAAAACUGAAAACGUAACAUAAUUCAAACGUGCAAUCUACCAAAAACAUGAUUAAUGAAACAUAUAUAAAUUACAAACAUGUAAAACCUGCAAACCAUCAAGAGUAAAAGAGUAAAGCCACUUCUAUGAAUUUUGGAUUUUUACUGAAUCAAAAACUUAGAUGCUAUUUAAAUAAUUACUAAUCGUAAACAUUGUUUAGAACGACUCAAAGCAUUAACAUAUAAAUUAUUAAAUUAGUUACCAGUUUUGUAUGAUAGACAAGCGAAUAAAACUUUGUCAAUUUGAUUUGAUGGUUUACACUUGCAUGUUUAACAAGAAAAGCUUAAGCGAUUAAUUUUUUUGAGCGAAUUGUUUGGAUUUUAACAAAGAAAAGAGAGAAUACAAUUGGGCUUUAAAGCUAAUUUUAAUUUUUGAUGAGGUAAAUUAUUUUUAAUUUUCUUUUCAUUUGGGCUUAAUGUAAAUUUUAGUGGGUGCACUACCAUGAAUUAUAGUGGGUGCACAUUUAAAAUUCCUUAACAAUUACAUUAAUCUUUUUAAAAAAUUAUGGGUGCAUGUGCACCCCUUCCCUACUGAGUGGCUUCGCCCCUGGUUUGUUCAUAUAUUUCCUAUAUGACGUAUUAUCUAAAGUUUGUAUAUUCAAUCAUAAGUGAAUGCAAAAAAAAAGUAUUACUUUCUCUUUAUUAGGGGCCCCUUUAUUUAUUAGAAUAGUAAAAAUGUAUAUUUGAGGUGUUUCCAAAUUUUAGUUGGUGAUAUAAAUAUUUUUUCAAUUCAAAACUUUUUUACAAAUUAUUAUUGUUCAAACAUUAGUAUAGAACUAUAGAUAUGUGAAGUAUAAAAAUAAGAAAAAAUAAUAAUUAAUGUAAUUGAAGAACUAAGAGUAUUAAAGGAUGCACACUAUUCAAAUUAACUGAGAUUAAUUUUAAUUGUAUAUUUUUAGAAAUAAAUUACAUACACUAUUCAAAUGUAUUUGUAUGUAUAAUAACAAAUUAAAUAUUUUAUGAUAAAAAAUAAUAUUAAAGGUAAGAAAAAAAUUUCCUAGUCAACUUUUUUUUGCUAGAUCUUGGUCAAACGAAACAGCAUUGCACAACAAUAUAAAAUCUUGUAACGAUAGAUUCAACCAAGUAAUAAUCACAUAACCUGAGUACCCACACUUCAUUUUAUAAAUGUAUAACUUUGAUAUCAUUAUAAACGUUUAAAUAUAUGAUUUACAUUUAGCGUUAUAUAUUGUAUAGUUCUAUAAUCUUAUUGUUUAGGCUUAAUAUUCGUCAUGAUUAAUAUACAACGAUUUUUUUUAUACAUUUUAUUUUCUUAUUAAUUUUUAUUACUUAUUAAUAUAUUUUUGAGUUCAGCAAAUACAUAGUCUCCUUCAAUAUAGCUUUGUAAUUUAUAUAUUUUUUAUACAAUACAUUUUAAAAUUAUUUAGUUAACUAUAGAUGGAUAUUUUUAUGAUAAUUUAUAUUAUAUGUUUUUUUAAAGAAAAUUUAGUUGAACAUCAAUCAUUUUUGUAUUUUGUAAAGUUUUAUAAAUAAAUACAUUGUUAUCCUUAAAUCCAGAGCCGGCUCUUGGGCCAAGUGGAUGAAGCCCAUGCUUCCGGCCGCAUUUAAAUAACUACAAUAUCGGCCUCAAAUUCCAUAAAAGUAUCAGUAGCCUAGUUUAGUUACAUGUUAUAAUUUUAAUUUUUUUUUCUUUAACAAUAAAGUGGCCAGUUUUCUUCAUUGUGCUUCUAGCCUGUAUAAUGUCAGGACCGGCUCAUGUAGUUAGCAUGAAAUUAGCGACGAGGAUGAGAGAGCAGUGUAUGGAGGAAACUGGUACCGAGAUGUCUACAAAGAGACGUGUCUGUUUCUGAAACAUGUGGUUGGUACAUUUUUCAUGAAGAGUUUGACGAUGGGAUGUUCUUUAGCAUUGUCCUUGGUGGGGGCUGUGGCACAUGAGUUCAUGGUAUUGCAUCUUUCCCUGAAGUUUGAAUUACUACACCUACUGGCUGCAAUAUUCUGUUCUGAAUGUGCUUUACUUCUUCAUGGAUCCUUCCUGUACAAGCCAGACAACAAGACAGACUACACACACACAGCUGCUGAGCCCAGUCUGCAGAACCGAGUAGCAUCCUCGGCGAGCUUUCGAUCAGUGAAAAUGCCUGCCAUUUUCAGUAAUGGUGAUCUGGUAGUGGAUCAUGUAAACAUGAUUCUUUAUGAGCUCUUCCAUUUGCUGAGACCUCCUGAGGAAGAUCGGAUUGAACUUGAAGUCAAGUCAUAAGGCUGAAAUCAAUCUUCAACCUUGAGGACAAGGUUGUUUUGGGGGGAGUAUUGAUAAGACUGCAUAUUGGGUCAAGGAGUGGGCUUCUCAUUAUUGGGCAUCGGAAAAAUAAGACAAGUGCCCAAGACAUUGCUCUUCUUUUAUCUUUUUAAGUCGAGUUAUUUCCUUGUAAACGUUUCACCGAAUCACGAUCACAAACAAUAUCGGGUUAAUCCCUAAUUUCUUUCUUUCUCUUUUCUCUUCUCAUCUCAUACUCCUCGUCAAUUCUCCCUCCCUUUCUUGUUACACAUAUUCGAUCCUCCUUUGAUCUUAUCACAAUUUGAGCAAAGAAAGAUCACUCAUGUUUUCUAGCGACACGGAAUCCUGAGGGUGAUAAUAACUCGGAAGAAAUAUUGCUCAACUUUGAAGCAUUGAAUUCAUAAAAGGAUGGCAAAAGCAACAUGCAUGAUUCAAGCUCUGAAUCUGAAUCAGAAAGUGAAGAUGAUGAUGAAGUUGGAGAUUUGAAUAGAUUGCUAGGGUUUGAGGAAAGGCGAAGGCGAGAAACUUGCUACCCAAGAAAGCAACACUAAACCCUGCAGAUGAGUCUGCUUUAAAAAAAGGAAGAGCAUCUGAAGCAGCCAUAGAAAGAAGUGUUCGUAACUCUGUUCUUUUAACCAUAAACGAUAACGUUUUUAAUUUAGUUCAGUACGGUUCGUAAUUCUCUCUCCUCUGUUUCAAAUUAAUUUUCAGUAGUCAAUAUGAAUAUUAUAUAAAUCAAUUGUUCUUCUUUUUUAAGCUGUUCCAAUUCGUAUCAUGAUUACAAAAAUUCAAUAGAAAAACUGAAGCCCUAACAAAUCUAUACCUACAAAAGGAGCAACGCUUUAAUUCUGAGACAAAGCAUGACGAGACAUACAAUAAAAGAUUACUAAAAUCCAAAACCAAUCAGCUUCUUCACCGAGAUAUUGCAGAAGUCGUUGACUGUUGUUGAGUAAGAGGAUAUACCACAGUCGCAAAGACUAAGAUGACGCAAAUCAAUCCAGUUCCUAAACCGUUCGUCGUUAAAGCAGCCGUCUUUGAAACAAUAUUCCAGCCGCUAAAGUUGCCUUUGAGAUAAAGCGUGAUGAAGAUUAGGGCGAUCGAUAAGAUCACAAACCCAUGUUGACGUAGAAAUUGCCUAAUUCGAUCACUGUUUUCGUUGAAGACGAUCGCAGCGACGAUGACUAACGAGAUGACGCAAAUCCAUCCAGUUCCUAAACCGCUCGGUUUAAAAUCUGCCGUCUUUGAAACGUUAUUCCAGCCGCUAAAAUAUCUUAUCAAACCGCAGAUAAACGAAACUGGGAAGAAACAGAUCUCAGCUAAUGUCAUCUUUGAUCUCUCUUCAACUUUUGUGCUUAUGUGUGUUUAGACAAAACUUGAAUAUUCGUCUUGGCUUGCUCUAUUUUUAUAGUGCAUGUUUCAUAUGGCGUUUUCCUUUUUUGGUAUUUUGGUUUUCUCUAUUUUUAUUUUUUUCCUUUAUUCCUAUAUUUUGUUAUUUCCUUUUUCCUGUUUUUCUUUCUUUACGACAUUUCCUUUUUUUGUUGGAUAGAAAAACAAACAAAAAUAGAUAUACGGAGUGCGAAGUGAAAAACACAUAUUUAUUGAGAAAACAGUAUGAUAUAACAAUUGUGGAUGGCAUAUAUAUUACAUGAAAUUUAUAAAAGCCUUACCUGCUUGUUAUCCCUUGCAUUAUUCACAUCACAAGCAAACGUAUUGAGUCCCCCCAUUCUUGAACCGAUGAAACCGGUUCACAUGUCUAACCAAAUCUCCCUUUCCACAAACUUCGAGAUGAACUUUGUAAAAACAAGUGACAGUCCCCACACUAACGCAACGCAAGUUCUUGGUGUGGUUCUCCUUUCGCUGUAUUUAUCAGCCCAAACGCCAGCCACCAGUUUCUCACUGCGCCCCAACACUAUCCACUCUUUCUCUUCCGUUGCGCGAUCUUACAAAACGCCUCUCGUUUGUGGUAUAAUAUAUGUACCCUCAGCUAACUUUAAUUAAGAGAGCAUGAAUCUGUUCCAUAAUAGGGUUAAACUCAUUCACGGAAACAAACAAGUAAAUUUUCUAAAAUGUUUUCAGCAUAUACUCAUAUUGCGAGGGAUUUUAAACCAAAUUCUCAUCUAGUGGUGUCAGUGGUGAGAGUUGGAAUAUAGGAGAAGAAAACUACUAUCUUGCUUAACAGGCAAGCCGAAUACCAAAAGAACUCCAUUUAAUUUUCGGAGGAACUUUCAUAUGGCUGGAAACUUGAAUCUUGGAAGAACACUUGAGUCAGAAAAGACUGAGAAGUCCAUCCAUUUUCAAAAUUGUGAAAGGUUUUAAGGAACACUUGAGCUGAUAACCACUUUCAACGACAGAAAAGUCAUUAUGAUGAAUGAAACAUGAAAAAUUGUUACAAACUCUUAAAAAAAGCUCUCUGUACAUCAAAUGAGUCGCUAUUGUAAUCCAACAGAUGCGAUCAAAGCUUAGUCAUAGAUGAGAGAACUUUUUAACUACAGUAUUUCCAGAUGAAAC